rnacentral:rRNA from 1 species
GACGAACGCUGGCGGCGUGCUUAACACAUGCAAGUCGAACGGAAAGGCCCUGCUUUUGUGGGGUGCUCGAGUGGCGAACGGGUGAGUAACACGUGAGUAACCUGCUCUUGACUUUGGGAUAACUUCAGGAAACUGGGGCUAAUACCGGAUAGGAGCUCCUGCUGCAUGGUGGGGGUUGGAAAGUCUCGGCGGUUGGGGAUGGACUCGCGGCUUAUCAGCUUGUUGGUGGGGUAGUGGCUUACCAAGGCUUUGACGGGUAGCCGGCCUGAGAGGGUGACCGGCCACAUUGGGACUGCGAUACGGCCCAGUCUCCUACGGGAGGCAGCAGUGGGGAAUAUUGCCCAAUGGGCGGAAGCCUGAUGCAGCAACGCCGCGUGCGGGAUGACGGCCUUCGGGUUGUAAACCGCUUUCGCCUGUGACGAAGCGUGAGUGACGGUAAUGGGUAAAUAAGCACCGGCUAACUACGUG